rnacentral:misc_RNA from 1 species
GGGAAAUAAUAAUUUAUAAAUGCUUAAGCAACAAAAGUUCUUAAAGAGUUAUUGGUGAUUACAUCCAAGUCCCAUAUCGAAGAAAAGAACCAUGUAUUUAUAGUGACAUAUUAUGUCUACUUAGCCAGCAAAUAACAUAACAAAAUCAGCAUUUUGAAGGUACCACAUGUGAAUCAAGAUGUACAAGCAGGUCUUCUAGGAGGCAAUUGUUGAUGAGUUGUUCUCUGUAAUUUGGGACGCAAUGUUUCUAUAGCCACCGUUGAUUUUUGAUCAACUCCUGCACCUUGCUUGCAUAGAGCCCAGUCUGCGGAGUCAAAAAAGGCACGUUCAUGAUCCUUUGAAAUCAAAGGCUUCUUCUUUGGAGCAAGUCCUCCAUAUUUGUUACCAGUAGAAGUAGUCUGAGAGGAACCAUCAAAAUCUUGAGUUGUGGUGUUGUUAUCUGC